rnacentral:piRNA from 1 species
UCCAGAAUGAGAGCUAGCAAGGAAAAC